CCCCCAACCCUCGACUCUUGCACCGAUCAAUGAUUACGGAAAAAAGCGAUCCCCAAUUUUCAUCCCACGGUAACACCGAUGUCCCGAUUCUCCGCCGUGGAGGAAGCUAGAUUCGCCACCCACCGGAGACGACCCCGCCGCUCUGCCAUUGUUGGAUGAGAUCCUCUGAUUGCCGCAACUUCCUCAAUGGCUUGCCAAUUUCACCGAACAAAACCCAGAUUCGUUCCACACCAUCUACUCCCCGCAGGAACCUCUCAUCGUUGCCGCUGGAGAUGGCCCAAUCCCUCCACCGACGACGCCGCUGGCGAAUUCCAACUGCAUCCCCGCAGUUCCCCACCCGCAACGCUGGCUUCUGCAAUUCUUCCAGAGAUUGCACCAGCGUGCCUGCUAGAGCUGGUGGUGUUUUUGGGUGGAUCCGCCGAUCCAAAUCCAAGCCAGCAGGGGUAAGCAUUCAGCUAGAGCUGCACCGGCGUGCCUACUAGAGCUGAGGACCCGUCUCCAUCGGUCCUGCUUUCCACGCCGCCGCGAAGGAGGGCGCGCGUGCCGCCGGCGACGCCCAUCUCCAUCAGGCACAGCGAAAGGCUAGCCAAGAAGUCGCGACACCGAGCUACCAAACCGGCGCUUCAAGCCCAGAAUAUCAUGAUGAAGCGUCUGGGAGUUACUUCGCCAAGUCACCCACCAGAUGCCAACUCCUACCAACGUUAUGUGGAUACGUUCUUCUCUACCCUCAGUACAUCACAUGCUGAGGCACUUGAUGCCCUGCUGCCUACUGGCCUAGGGAGAGCUAUGGUCGUUGCGACGCCUUUGUCACCUUGAGUUGCUGCUAUGCUAUUGCAUAAGCCGUGGUCGCAAAAUUGUUUCCCAAAUGAUUGCUGAAAACAUUAUUAUCUGGAACGUCCGAGGAUUGAAUUCCCGGGCAAGGCGUAAUGUGGUUAGAGAACUGGUAACUCGAACAUAUUUCGCUUAUUUCCCUGCAAGAGUCCAAGCUUGAUGUGUGUGAUGA